rnacentral:rRNA from 1 species
GUUAAGCGACUAAGCGUACACGGUGGAUGCCCUGGCAGUCAGAGGCGAUGAAGGACGUGCUAAUCUGCGAUAAGCGUCGGUAAGGUGAUAUGAACCGUUAUAACCGGCGAUUUCCGAAUGGGGAAACCCAGUGUGAUUCGUCACACUAUCAUUAACUGAAUCCAUAGGUUAAUGAGGCGAACCGGGGGAACUGAAACAUCUAAGUACCCCGAGGAAAAGAAAUCAACCGAGAUUCCCCCAGUAGCGGCGAGCGAACGGGGAGCAGCCCAGAGCCUGAAUCAGUGUGUGUGUUAGUGGAAGCGUCUGGAAAGGCGUGCGAUACAGGGUGACAGCCCCGUACACAAAAAUGCACAUACUGUGAGCUCGAUGAGUAGGGCGGGACACGUGGUAUCCUGUCUGAAUAUGGGGGGACCAUCCUCCAAGGCUAAAUACUCCUGACUGACCGAUAGUGAACCAGUACCGUGAGGGAAAGGCGAAAAGAACCCCGGCGAGGGGAGUGAAAAAGAACCUGAAACCGUGUACGUACAAGCAGUGGGAGCACGCUUAGGCGUGUGACUGCGUACCUUUUGUAUAAUGGGUCAGCGACUUAUAUUCUGUAGCAAGGUUAACCGAAUAGGGGAGCCGAAGGGAAACCGAGUCUUAACUGGGCGUUAAGUUGCAGGGUAUAGACCCGAAACCCGGUGAUCUAGCCAUGGGCAGGUUGAAGGUUGGGUAACACUAACUGGAGGACCGAACCGACUAAUGUUGAAAAAUUAGCGGAUGACUUGUGGCUGGGGGUGAAAGGCCAAUCAAACCGGGAGAUAGCUGGUUCUCCCCGAAAGCUAUUUAGGUAGCGCCUCGUGAAUUCAUCUCCGGGGGUAGAGCACUGUUUCGGCAAGGGGGUCAUCCCGACUUACCAACCCGAUGCAAACUGCGAAUACCGGAGAAUGUUAUCACGGGAGACACACGGCGGGUGCUAACGUCCGUCGUGAAGAGGGAAACAACCCAGACCGCCAGCUAAGGUCCCAAAGUCAUGGUUAAGUGGGAAACGAUGUGGGAAGGCCCAGACAGCCAGGAUGUUGGCUUAGAAGCAGCCAUCAUUUAAAGAAAGCGUAAUAGCUCACUGGUCGAGUCGGCCUGCGCGGAAGAUGUAACGGGGCUAAACCAUGCACCGAAGCUGCGGCAGCGACGCUUAUGCGUUGUUGGGUAGGGGAGCGU